AAGUUUUAUUUUUCAAUUUUACAUUUUCAAAAGUUUCAUAAUUACAAAUAUACCUAUCCCUAUGCUUAUGUCAUGGUUUUCUCUCUUCUUACACUCCACCACUUCCAUAACUCCUCCUUUCUUUUUUUUUUUAUUUUUUGUUUUUUUUUAUUUUCUUUUUCUCUUUCCUUGGUUCUUCAUUACCACAACCCACGAUCAUCCCGUCCAAAGCCCUAACCCAUGUUUUUUCAACCUCUCAUCUAUGUCACUAUCUCCAUUAUCUUCCAUAAGCUCUGUAAGUUGUUCCUCCCACAUUGUCUUCUCUUCUUCUAUAAAUGGCCACCACUAAGUCGAGUUCGAAGUUACCUUCCCCAGCUAAAAAAAUUUCUAAAAUUUCUAAGAAACCUCCUACAAAUUCAUCUAAAGUUGAUCCUAAGAUGAGUUUGAAGCGCAUUGCGAAGAAAUGAAUGAGUGAUGUUGCAGAGCCAUCUGGUUCUAAGAAAAGACCUAUUCCAAAUAAGAUUGAGUCUCGUAAGACAAAGAGAGCAAAAUCUUCGAAAUCUGCCAAGGAUGUUAUAUCUUAUUUUGAUUUUGAGGAUGAAGUGCAUGAUGGGGAAGUGAAGCCUAAAGUUAAAUCCAAGGUCCAUGCUAAGAGCUCAGAAAAGUAUGAAGACUUUGACUUACCCAAAAAAAAAAUCCUUCUAAGGUGUUUUUUUUUUUGUGUUUUUUUAUAGUACAUUUCUGUUUUUCCCUUUUCUAUUGUUUCAUGUCAUUUGUCAGUAAUGAUAAUCAUUUUUGUGUUGUCGACUUCUUUUUCUUCUUCCUGGUUGUUUUCAAGCUGUUGUACCAUUUCUGCAGCCACAAGCUUUGCGUAGUCGGUGAAGUCAAAAUAUUCAUUUACUCCUGUAGUUUUUUUGUGUUGUUUUUUGGUUGUUGGAUGGUUGUCUCUGAUGUCACAGUCCCUGUCUCUAGAAAAAAUGUAUCAUCUUGAAUUGUGUGUGCAAAUAGUUGUUGCUUGGAAGUUGUUCCUGGGUUGUUUCCAGGUUGCUGCAAAUCUUCCUGUGCUGAGUUGUUGUCAUAUGCUGCCAUCAUCAUAUUUUUAUCUGUGAAAUCAACUAUUAAACAACUAUUUUGAAGCAUACGUUAGUUAAUAAGGAUAAAUUCAACAUUUCUUGUUUGGAGAUCCCAAACAACAAUUAUUUUACUGGAAAACAACUUAUAAACAACUGUUUACAGAUUCAAAUCCUGUAGCAUCUAAUUAUAUGCAUUAAUAUUUUUUUUUGAUGCAAUUUGUUGUUCUUUUUUUGUUCAGGUUUAUAAAAUUUCCUGAUCAUUUCAAUUUUUUCAUGUUUUCCUCAAUUUAUAACACAUUCUCAAUUAUGUAGAAUAAAAAAAUAGGAAGAGGUUCAUGAAGAAAUUGUAUUACCUUCAAUUCUUUCUUUGAUUCGAUUAUGGGUGAGUUUCAAUGAUUUCUCAAUGUCCUUCUCUUCGAUUCCUCUCCUUUGAACUCGUUGGGUUUUUGAUUGUAGGUUGUUUUUACAUUUUUUGUACAGCAAUGGAGGUUGAAUACUUUUUUUUUUUCCUAUAUGGAUUUUUCGGAUUUUGAUUGGUUUUUCGUUGAGAUCUACAUCUUGUUCAGAUCUGAUUUCCAUGGUUUUUGAAAAAAAAAAUGGUGGAGAUUUGGUUGUUUGGGGUUUCUCGGCUGGGUCACGAAGAAGGAGGUCUCUCCUCCGUUUUUUGUGGCUGGCUGGUAUUUUUGUAAAUAGAAAGUUUUGUUUUCUAUUUAUGUUUAUUUUUCCUUUUUAGGUUAUAAAUGUAAAUUGCUUCCCUUUUUAGUUUAUUAUAGAAAAAAUCCCUUAAAAGAAUCCUAAGAAAUUUGUGAAUGUACAUGUCGAAAAAUUUGUGGGUAUAACUAACAUGUAUUUUUUUAGUUUAGCUCGUAUUUUUGAAUCGAUGGUACUUUGAGCUCAUUACAGAUCACAAGCAGCUAUAAUAUUAUAUUAAAAUUUGGGAUAAAGAUGCAUCAAGUUCCAUAAGAAUUUUUUUUUUUUUUUUUGAUUUAAGCGUUUAUAUAUUAAAGCCAUGUUUUACCUAGGACUCGAACCCAGGACCUCCAACACUCACAUACCCACCUAUGACCACUUGAGCUAGUCUCAAGACACCAACCCAUAAGAAUUUAUUUAGCCCUAAUUUAUCUUAGUUUGGGUUAAUGUAUUGAGGUAUUUCAGCAAUGUGAGGCCUCGUCAAGUGACCCACAUAACAGGAAACGUUAAAGUGUUUGAUCCAAACAAUAAUGGACACUUUGUUGUUGUUGUUGUUGUUGUUGAGUGGGUUGGUGCCUUUCUUUUUGAACUUGUGAAACCCAAUUUUUUCUUUUCUGGGUUCAGAAUUUUGAGUUCUAAAUGCUUUUUAAUUAAUUCAUUUAUUUUUGACAUAUCUAAUAGUGUUAAUAAUAAUUAGUGCCGUGAUUGGUGGGAUAAAGUGGGGUCACGUAGAAGACCAAAACAAUUAAAUAAUUUAUGGGAAUGAUGAUUGUUCAUUCUUAGUCUCCUCCUAAGAUUCCUUUUCAUGUUUUCUUCCUAUCCUAACUAAAAAACUUAAUUAAAAUAAGGAAAUAUAAUAUUAAAAGGAAAAUUUAAAUUAAUAUUUUUGUAUUUGGACAAAAUUGGCACACUAAAUCAAAAUAUAUCAAAAUUAGUUAGAUAUUUUCUCGGUCUCUCUCUCGCUCUAAUCUUCUCUAACACACGAAGACCCUAACAAUUCACGGUUGCCAACUACCGCGCCUCCAACCCAUCGACGACUACCAAUCCAAGAUCCAAGAUCUCUGAACCACAACCAUCACGCCAUAAAUGUAAGUUUUCCAUUUCAUUUUAUUGUAUUUUGUGUAAUUUAAGGUUAAAAUGUAUGAUUUUAUUUAUAGGUUGAGAACUAUUUUUCUUUUUGUUGGAAACUCUCUAAAUGUUUUGAUGGUUGUGUUUUUACUUGUAUUCUCAUAUUUUAUAAUUUUUCCGCCCAUAAUGUGGUGAAAUGGGCCUCUACCCACAGACAAUUUGGUAACUUGAUUAUCUCUUCUAUUCCGCAGGACUUAUUUUGUAAUGACCGUAAGCUAUAAAUUUAUUUAUCAAUAAACGUUCUUUUUCAAAAAAAAAAAAAAA